CAGCUCGCGCAUGUGACUCACUCGUACAGAAUGUUAGCAGCACGCAGCACGGGUUUUUUUUUCGCCUUGCAGUUCUGGAGAUGCGCACCGCCGUGCCGUAAACCUUUUGCCUCGAGACAACGGAGACGCUUCCGAGCAUUCCAAGAAUUCGAAACAACACGUCUCAUCUGGAUUGGCAGUCUGAUCUAAAUGUAACAACUUAGUAACCAUAAUGGAUUGUCUUGGUUUUGAGCGAAGGAGCAACACUUACUUUCAAAUCUGCUUAUCUGAUGGAAGUUCUUGGGAUCGUUUUAAUGGGACAGCUAUUUUCAUCACCGCAGAUCGGGUUUACACUUUUUAAACAGACCCCAAGUGCUUUCCCUGUCUUCGCAGUUCUCCAUAAUAUCUGCAUUCAAGCAAACAAACAAACAAAAAAAGUCGAGAUCCAAACAUUCAAGUUAAUUAGAGACCAAGACUGACUGUGAGAUGGCUAUGCUACUUUCUACAACACUGUGUGAAGGAUCAGUUGCUUUCCCACUUAUCCUGCACAAUGAAAAAUAGUCACUUAUUGAAUGCAAUGCUGAUGUCUGACUAUGAUGGAAAGUAAAAGAAAAUAUAGAUAUGUUACAUUUCUAUACACUGAACCCCCCCCCACAAACAUAAACAUGAGCCAUAACAAUGACAUUUUCACACCAAUUUCAGCUAAUACAGUACAGUGUUUAACACUGUUUGUGCCACACUAAAUCAGUGCUGUUUAACAGUGAUCUAACAACAGAAAGGGCAAGUAAUUUUUAUCUACAGGCAACCUCUGUGCCCAUUAAUUAUAAUUUAUUGACUGUGUAUAGCUCAAACAUCUGACUGCAAUAAAACAUGGCCACCAUAAAAUAUUUCAGCUUGCUUUGAUCAAGUGUACAUUAGUCUUGCAAAAUUAAGACUAAAUACUGUUUGACUUGAGGAUGACAGCAAGGUCAGUCAUUUUCAUCCACAUACAACCCCUAUAACAAGCAAUUAUUGAUACAUUGUUGUUUGUGUAUACCUCAGAUGCCCGAUUAUUGUAAAAAUAAGAACAAAGGAUUAUAUUUUUUUCUUCAAACAUCAUAGUUGCCACAGUGAAGCAUUACAGCUUACUUCAGACAAAUGCAGGCUAGUUUUGCAAAGACAGGUUAAAGAUGGUUUAGACUGAGCAGAUUAUGAGGCGUAGUUACUUGCAUUUACAUUUAAAACCCCACCCUGUCCAACUGUUAUAACCUUAUUUUUUGACUGUAUGUAUCACACGUCUGAUUUUUAUAAAAAAUAAUGGCCACAGCAAUGCAUUUUAGCUUUAACACAAGUAGUAACUAUAGUAAAGUUUUCCAACUUGCUUCAUACAAGUCACAUCAGCACUGUAAAGAAAGAAUAAUGAAAAAAUAACAGCAGUCAGUUCUGUGAAUAGAUAGUUCACAUGCAUGGCAGUUAUACUUAUUUUCUUGUCUGUGUACAUCUCAGAUGGAUCACAAUAAUUAAAAAAUAAAAAGCCACAGCAAUAUAUUUCAUCUCUGUUAAAAAAGGCAGAUACUGUAUUGCUCUCCAGCAACAGAAAAUUCUGUGGCAUUUGCGCUACAAAACUAUCACUGCCAUUAUCUGUUUAUCUGAUUAGAUUUAACUAAAAUAAACUUAGCUCAUUUUACCACA